rnacentral:rRNA from 1 species
AUGAUCUAUGUGGGAGCAAACACAAAUUUCAGACAACAGUUGUUACAAACAUUCCACUCCUCUGCUUUGGGAGGGCAUUCUGGAAUUAAAGCCACUUAUUACAGAAUUAAGAAGGUGUUUUACUGGCCUAACAUGAAGAAGGACAUUGGACAGUUUGUAAAUCAAUGCCCUGUGUGUCAGUUGAACAAAGUGGAGCACAUAUACCCUCCUGGUCUGUUACAACCUCUACCAGUUCCUGACAUGGCUUGGUCUCACAUCACAAUGGAUUUCAUAACUGCCCUUCCCAAUUCUCAGGGUAAAGAAGUGAUUCUGGUAGUAGUGGACAGGCUAACCAAGUAUUCUCAUUUCAUUCCUUUAGCUCAUCCUUAUACAGUUCAGACAAUAUUCCAAGCACUAAUGGAUAAUGUCAUUAAACUGCAUGGUUUGCCCAUUUGUAUUAUGUCUGACAGAGACUCCAUUUUCACUAGUGCCUUAUAUCAAGAACUGUUUAAUGCUUUUGGAGUGCAGAUCAGAUUUAGUACAGCAUCACACCCUCAAACUGAUGGCCAAACAGAGCGUGUGAAUCAAUGUUUGGAGGCUUAUCUCAGAGGCAUGGUUUUCCAGGAACCCAAGAAAUGGCUACAAUGGUUACCAUUGGCAGAACUAUGGUACAAUACUAGCUACCACUCUUCACUGAAAUGCACACCCUUUCAAGCUCUUUAUGGAUAUAAACCUCCACAAAUUGGGGAGUUUGCAGGUGAUCAAGUCUUAACUCCUGAAGCUAAAUUGACAGUGGCAAAGAGAGAGCACAUGGUUCAACGUUUGAAGGCAAACCUGGAACAUGCCCAAAGCAGGAUCAAGCAUUUUGCGGACAGGAAAAGGACCGAGAGACAGCUAGAAGUGGGUGACAGAGUAUUCCUUAAAAUCCAGCCAUAUCGACAGAAUGCUUUUGGUUUAAGGGGCUCUCUAAAGCUCAAGUCAAAGUUUUAUGGUCCAUACAGAAUUCUGGAAAGAGUGGGAGAAGUCUCGUACAAGCUAGACUUACCAGCAGGGAAUAACAUACACCCAGUAUUUCACAUUAGCCAACUGAAGAAACACAUCGGCCACAAAGCUGUUCCUCUUCCUCAUGUGCCCUUGGUGACACCAGAGGGUUACGUUAAGACCAUACCAGUAGCAGUCCUGGAUAAGCGCGUGAUACAAAGGAACAAAGCACCGGUGGGUCAAUGUCUGGUGCAGUGGGAAAGCUUAGCUCCAGAUGAUGCAACAUGGGAAGACGCAGCAUUCCUCAACAAGACCUUCCCAUGCCACAAGCUUUUUCGCCUCGAGGACAAGGCGAAUGUCAUGGCGGCGGCAUUGUCAGGACCCAGACCGAGAGUUUACUAA